UACGUAGGGUGCGAGCGUUGUCCGGAAUUAUUGGGCGUAAAGGGCUCGUAGGCGGUUUGUCGCGUCGGGAGUGAAAACACCGGGCUUAACUCGGUGCUUGCUUUCGAUACGGGCAGACUAGAGGUAUGCAGGGGAGAACGGAAUUCCUGGUGUAGCGGUGAAAUGCGCAGAUAUCAGGAGGAACACCGGUGGCGAAGGCGGUCUCUGGGCAUUACCUGACGCUGAGGAGCGAAAGUGUGGGAGCGAACAGG
rnacentral:rRNA from 1 species